UGGGUUGUAGCUCAGUGGUAGAGCGCUUGCCUCACGUGCGUGAGGCACUGGGUUUGAUCCUUAGCACCGCAU
rnacentral:tRNA from 1 species